UACGUAGGGGGGCAAGCGUUGUCCGGAUUUAUUGGGCGUAAAGAGCGUGUAGGCGCCAGACAGGUCCGUUGUGAAAACUCGAGGCUCAACCUCGAGACGUCGGUUGAAACCGUCUGGCUAGAGUCCGGAAGAGGAGAGUGGAAUUCCUGGUGUAGCGGUGAAAUGCGCAGAUAUCAGGAGGAACACCAAUGGCGAAGGCAGCUCGCUGGGACGUGACUGACGCUGAGACGCGAAAGCGUGGGGAGCAAACAGG
rnacentral:rRNA from 1 species